UGCUAGUGCUCAGGGUAACACAACCUAUAAAUAGAUUUUGGAAUAUAAACUGUUUAUCGUCUAUUCAGUAAGACUAAAUAGAAAGUGUGCGC